UGGAUCUAGACCCCACAGAGAGGAUCCCACACGCUCUCUGUAUCCCAGACUGGAGACCCCACAGAAAGGAUCCCACCUGUUCGCUGUAUCCCAGGCUGGAUGGAGACCCCACAGAGAGGAUCCCACCCACUCGCUGCAUCCCAGACUUGGAGACCCCAAAGAGAGGAUCCCACCCGCUCGCUGUAUCCCAGACUGGAUGGAGACCCCACAGAGAGGAUCCCACGUGCUCGCUGUACCCCAGACUCGAUGGAAACCCCACUCGCUGUAUCCCAGGCUGGAUGGAGACCCUACAAAGAGGAUCCCACCUGCUCACUGUAUCCCAGGCUGGAUGGAGACCCCACAGAGAGGAUCCCACACUGCACCCGCCCACUCGUAUCAGGGACAUAAAAACCACUAACUAGUGUAGAUCAUUGUGUUUCCUAACAAACCACGACCACUUUCUACAUCAACUCUAGGGACCCAGAAUGCUUCCUCCCCCUAUUAAAUUAAGCCUGGGUAAGCGUGGAUAGUUAUUAUCAGAUUAAACAGUGGUUCUAAUUAAUCAAACUCUAUUGGACUUUCUCACCUCUCCAGCAGACUCAGACACCCAAAACAUAAGGGGGGCUUCCUGCUCCCCCAUUUUGCAGUCCAGGGGCAUUUCAACUAUAACGUCCAUGGCAUACCCACAGCUAGGAGUACGGGGUUAAUGGUGGGUGUCCUCACCUGCACCCAGUUCAGUAUAUGCCACCAGCGAGAGGGGUGGCUAGUUAAGUAACAAGUUAGGUGUUUAUCCUUUCUGUGAAAUCCACUGGUAUUAAUCUGAUGCCAGCCACUGUCUAGUGCCAGCUACCUCUGGAGUAAAGUCCAGCCCAGUGCCUUCACACAGCUCAGGAAAUAUUUUAAUAUAUUAUCGAGAGGACUCACAGUGGUGCCAACUGUUUGUGCUUGGUGCCCAGCUACAAUGUAUCUGUAGUAUCCAAUAAAAUGCAGUGUGGAUAAUGACAAGGAUGGGUAUUGGGUGUCCUCAGUAUAGUUCAGAAUAAUUUCUCGCUGUUAUUUCCUGGUGAUUCACACUAUAUAAUGUCCUGAAACGGUAUCUGCCAUAGCUGGGCACACAAUAUAUAGUUAUGUAACAACUGGUUGGGAUACAGCACAGAAUAGGUGCAGGAUGUGUACUGACCAGUGCCAGGACCAGGGUACGCACAGACUAUGCCAAGCUCAGGGUGUAGUUCUUUCUAGUCCAAAGCCUGGGUGUACUCUUCAAAGCCAAGUACAGGGUGCAUCUUGCCCAGACUGGGUGCCCUCUCUCUCCAGUGCACAGCCCAAGAAGUAUGUUUCAAUUAUGAUGCCCUGUGCAGGUUGCCCUGUGUGGUGCCAAGUCAGAAAGCAGGUUGUCCUGUGUGGUGCCCAGUCAGGGAGCAGGUUGCCAGGUUGCCCUAUGUGAUGCCCAGUCAGGGUGCAGGUUGCCAGGUUGCCCUGUUUGGUCAGAAAGCAGGUUGUCCUGUGUGGUGCCCAGUCAGGGAGCAGGUUGCCAGGUUGCCCUAUGUGAUGCCCAGUCAGGGUGCAGGUUGCCAGGUUGCCCUGUUUGGUGCCCAGUGAGGGAGCAGGCUGGGUGCCCUCUCUCUCUCUCUCUCUCCAGUGCUGGCUGUCAGUGUGCUGUGUGCCCUCUCUCCCCGGCUGUCAGUAUACAGUCUCUCAGAUAAGAUGAAGUUGAGGAUCCCAUGCCCUGAGUGAGAGGAGGAGCCCGGGUAUCACUCCCCUCAUUAACCUUGAUUGGCCGCG